GUGCACGAGUUGCUUGUUAGCAAUGACAAUAGCAUGCUUGCUCAGCAAAGCAACACUCUCCAUGUCAGCUGACCAAACUAUGUAUUUAACAGAAGGAGACUGUAGUUCCCCAAGUGUAGUUCUCUGUUGAAGAUCAAAGAUGGUGACUUUAUCCUCGGUCCUGCACAAUAAGUUGCCUGUUCCAGCGUAAAAUAUUGCAUCGGUGCCAGGGGGGAGAGG
rnacentral:misc_RNA from 1 species